rnacentral:rRNA from 1 species
CCUACGGGCGGCAGCAGUGGGGAAUAUUGGACAAUGGGGGGAACCCUGCUCCAGCGACGCCGCGUGAUUGAAGAAGUAUUUCGGUAUGUAAAGCUCUAUCAGCAGGGAAGAAAAUGACGGUACCUGACUAAGAAGCCCCGGCUAACUACGUGCCAGCAGCCGCGGUAAUACGUAGGGGGCCAUCGGUAGACGGAUUUACUGUGUGUAAAGGGAGCGUAGACGGUGCAGCAAUUCUGAUGUGAAAUGUCCGGGCCCAACCCCGGGACUGCAUGGGAAAAUGGUGAACUGGAGUGCAGGAGAGGUAAGUGGAAUUCCUAGUGUAGCGGUGAAAUGCGUAGAUAUUAGGAGGAACACCAGUGGCGAAGGCGGCUUACUGGACUGUAACUGACGUUGAGGCUCGAAAGCGUGGGGAGCAAACAGGAUUAGAUACCCGUGUAGUC